rnacentral:rRNA from 1 species
AUUUACGUCCAUAUCACAUUGAGAGCAAUGGUUCUUGUCCGAUCACCGUAGUUAAGCAACGUUGAGCCUAGUUAGUACUUUGAUGGGUGACCGCUUGGGAAACCUAGGUGCUAUAAGCG